UACGAAGGGGGCUAGCGUUGUUCGGAAUCACUGAGCGUAAAGCGCACGUAGGCGGACUUAUAAGUCAGGGGUGAAAUCCCGGGGCUCAACCUCGGAACUGCCUUUGAUACUGUGAGUCUCGAGCCCGAUAGGGGUGAGUGGAAUUCCUAGUGUAGAGGUGAAAUUCGUAGAUAUUAGGAAGAACACCAGUGGCGAAGGCGGCUCACUGGAUCGGUACUGACGCUGAGGUGCGAAAGCGUGGGGAGCAAACAGG
rnacentral:rRNA from 1 species